rnacentral:rRNA from 1 species
GAUGAACGCUGGCGGCGUGCUUAACACAUGCAAGUCGAACGAUGAAGCCCAGCUUGCUGGGUGGAUUAGUGGCGAACGGGUGAGUAACACGUGAGUAACCUGCCCUUAACUCUGGGAUAAGCCUGGGAAACUGGGUCUAAUACCGGAUAGGAGCGUCCACCGCAUGGUGGGUGUUGGAAAGAUUUAUCGGUUUUGGAUGGACUCGCGGCCUAUCAGCUUGUUGGUGAGGUAAUGGCUCACCAAGGCGACGACGGGUAGCCGGCCUGAGAGGGUGACCGGCCACACUGGGACUGAGAGACGGCCCAGACUCCUACGGGAGGCAGCAGUGGGGAAUAUUGCACGAUGGGCGCAAGCCUGAUGCAGCGACGCCGCGUGAGGGAUGACGGCCUUCGGGUUGUAAACCUCUUUCAGUAGGGAAGAAGCGAAAGUGACGGUACCUGCAGAAGAAGCACCGGCUAACUACGUG